rnacentral:lncRNA from 1 species
GAAUAAACAAAGAAAACCCUGCCAUCUUGAAGUUUUCAGAACAACUUGAAGGACAGGCUAACUUCAGUAGCUUAAUUUCUUUCAUAUUUUAAUCUAGGUCAAUGGACACAUGAUAAAUGAAGAAGUGAGAUUAGCUAUAACCCAAUUAUGCUAAUAUUUUGUUUGGUAGAAAUACUUUCACCCAAAAUAACGAACACAUGGCUAAUCAAACAAGGGGUUAUUUUUCCUUGCAUUACAAGAAAUAUUAAGCUUGUGAGGGUAGAAGAGCCCUCAAUCCAAGAAGUCUUCUUAUGCUCCAUCCUGACACCUGCUGACUCCUCACUUCACUGCAUUAGAAGAAUAUGAAGAUGGCUAUGAAACAUGACUCGUAGGCUACCCGGAGGCCCAUCAGCUGUUGCGUCAAUAACUAACAUUUGGAGUGGUAGUGCAUUUUACUCAAAAUUUCAAGAAGACUGCUUUGAUUAUCGUUUGUUCUGUUCUCAGCAUGCUGUGGGAUUCAUCCUCUUGAAGUUAGGCCUAACCAUUUGACUUGGCAAAUAAAAUGUGGAUAAAAGUGAUGCCUUUAACAGCCAGCACACAAUUCUCCAUGUCCUUUUUCCCUGAUGCAGCAACCACUGAUAAUAAAGAGGAUGGACCCUUGUUAACUUGCAUUUUUGAGUAAGGAAAACAUGGAACAGAGCCCACGGCUGACCCAUGAUGAACAUGUAGCACAAGUGAGCAACAGAUCUUUGCUGUGAAUUCAGCUUUAUUUGCUGCUACUACUAACUAAACUUCUGAUCCAUAUAAUUACUUAACUUCUUUAUGUUAAGGCAUUUAUUAGAAUACACAGCUUUAAUGUCAAACAAACUUGGGUUCAAAUCCAGGCUCUGCCACUUUUUAGCCAGGUGACACUGGCAAGAUUCCCAGCUUCUCUGAACUUCCAUUUAGUUACCUAUGAAUUGAAGAUUAUAAUAGCUACUUCAAGUGGUGGCCAUAUGGAUUACAAUGAGAGAUCUAAAGGGCUGGUCAUAGUUCCUAGUACAUGG